rnacentral:tRNA from 1 species
GCCAACUUAGCUCAACUGGUAGAGCAACUGACUUGUAAUCAGUAGGUUGGGGGUUCAAGUCCCCCAGUUGGCU